rnacentral:rRNA from 1 species
UUUGCUAGAUCGGUAUGGGCAAUAGUCCAAAUUGCUUCGAAUCUAUAUCCUCCACGCAGCGUACGGAAAAUGUUUGGCAAUUGGUUGAGGGGAAUAGAUAAACAAUUGUCUAAGCACAUUCUUGCGGGGGCGGCUGCCUUAUGUUGGGCGUUGUUGCUAACCAGGAAUGAUAUUGUUUUUAAUCAUAAAAGUGUUUCAUCUCCUAUGCAGGUAAUUCAUAUAUGCUCGCGAUGGCUCCGUAUGUGGUCUAUCCUGCAGAGGCCGGAGGACAGAGACCUUUUUAUGAUAGCUUCUACCCGGUUGGAGUGCUCGGCCAGGGACAUUUUUUACCCCCAUGGAUGGCGGUGUGACCUUCGGAUUGGACCGGCAUCACCUUAG